UACGUAGGGUGCGAGCGUUAAUCGGAAUUACUGGGCGUAAAGCGUGCGCAGGCGGUGAUGUAAGACCGAUGUGAAAUCCCCGGGCUUAACCUGGGAACUGCAUUGGUGACUGCAUUGCUGGAGUAUGGCAGAGGGGGGUGGAAUUCCACGUGUAGCAGUGAAAUGCGUAGAGAUGUGGAGGAACACCGAUGGCGAAGGCAGCCCCCUGGGCCAAUACUGACGCUCAUGCACGAAGGCGUGGGGAGCGAACGGG
rnacentral:rRNA from 1 species